rnacentral:rRNA from 1 species
UACAGAGGGUGCAAGCGUUGUUCGGAAUUAUUGGGCGUAAAGCGUGCGCAGGCGGUUUGCUAAGACAGGCGUGAAAUCCCCGGGCUUAACCUGGGAACUGCGCUUGUUACUGGCAGGCUUGAGUGUGGCAGAGGGGGGUGGAAUUCCACGUGUAGCAGUGAAAUGCGUAGAUAUGUGGAGGAACACCGAUGGCGAAGGCAGCCCCCUGGGUUAACACUGACGCUCAUGCACGAAAGCGUGGGGAGCAAACAGG